ACCAGAACUGCGUGCACAUCCAGCGUGCAGCCAGGUGGGAGCUAUGCACAUGCACUGUGCACCAGAACUGCGUGCACAUCCAGCGUGCAGCCAGGUGGGAGCUGUGCACACGCACUGUGCACCGGAACUGCGUGCACAUCCAGCGUGCAGCCAGGCGGGAGCUGUGCACACGCACUGUGCACCAGAACUGCAUGCACAUCCAGCGUGCAGCCAGAUGGGAGCUGUGCACACGCGCUGUGCACCAGAACUGCGUGCACAUCCAGCGUGCAGCCAGGCGGGUCCUGUACGCAGGUCCAGUGUGUGGCUAGGUGUGCCCUGUGCAUAUGCACUGUGCACCAGAACUGCGUGCACGUCCCACGUGGGACCGGCUGGUAUUUUGCACGCCACAGCAUUUGAAAUUCUGGCUCUCUGGCUGGCGCAGCGAUGCGCCUUGGGGGCUGGGGGGGCAUGGGGAGUUUGCUAAGAUCCUGUU